UGGGGAGUAUUGGACAAUGGGGGAAACCCUGAUCCAGCCAUGCCGCGUGAGUGAUGAAGGCCUUCGGGUUGUAAAGCUCUUUUAGCGGGGAAGAUGAUGACGGUACCCGCAGAAUAAGCCCCGGCUAACUUCGUGCCAGCAGCCGCGGUAAGACGAAGGGGGCUAGCGUUGUUCGGAAUUACUGGGCGUAAAGGGCGCGUAGGUGGCCCUGCAAGUCAGGCGUUAAAGACCCAGGCUCAACCUGGGGAAUGCGCUUGAGACUGCAGGGCUUGAGACCGGAAGAGGAGAGUGGAAUUCCCAGUGUAGAGGUGAAAUUCGUAGAUAUUGGGAAGAACACCAGUGGCGAAGGCGGCUCUCUGGUCCGGUUCUGACGCUAAGGCGCGAAAGCGUGGGGAGCAAACAGGAUUAGAUACCCCCGUAGUCC
rnacentral:rRNA from 1 species